UCACGGCAGAAAUAGACAGGGUGGCGGU
rnacentral:sRNA from 1 species